GGAGAGGUGGCAGAGCGGCCGAUUGUGCGCGAUUGGAAAUCGCGCGAUGCGGCACAAACCGCAUCCGUGGGUUCGAAUCCCACCCUCUCCG
rnacentral:tRNA from 1 species